CCCUGAUGCCGAGACGAACCGGACCUGCAGCCACCAUGAACAGCAAAGGGCUCCUCCAGCUACAGCAGCCAAAGCAUAUUCAAUCCGGACAAGUUUAUCAGACGGGCUGAAUGUAGUCAGCGAAAAGCCGUACCGCGCUCCGCCAUCUUUACCCGAAGAGCCAAAGCACAAGUUCAGGGAGGUGUCCACUGUCUCUCAAAUCAACCACCAGACUUUAGAGGGGCACAAGAUUGUUAACGCGCAAAGGUGGUUGAGGAAUUGGAAAGGUUGACUGGGGCUGCACCUUGGAAUUUAUUUUGUCUUGGAUAAUAUGUAACAUUAACAGAGAGCAGAAGCUGAUUAAAGUAUCUUGG
rnacentral:lncRNA from 10 species